UACGGGGGGGGCAAGCGUUGUUCGGAAGUACUGGGCGUAAAGGGCGCGUAGGCGGCCUGCUAAGUCGGACGUGAAAUCCCUCGGCUCAACCGAGGAACUGCGUCCGAUACUGGUGGGCUUGAAUCCGGGAGAGGGAUGUGGAAUUCCAGGUGUAGCGGUGAAAUGCGUAGAUAUCUGGAGGAACACCGGUGGCGAAGGCGGCAUCCUGGACCGGUACUGACGCUGAGGUGCGAAAGCGUGGGGAGCAAACAGG
rnacentral:rRNA from 1 species